ensembl:lncRNA LINC00640 long intergenic non-protein coding RNA 640
AAAGCCACAUGUGGACUCCAGCCCCAUGCCUACCAACCGUCUUGUCACUGUCACUCGGAGCUCCUUCCUGCCCAGCGGAUGUGUCCACCCUCUCCUUCUUCCUCUAAUGUUCUUCCUGUCAUUGUUCCCAUACGUAACUCCCUCCCAUCCUGUGUUCCAGUGUAGAUGAGCCCAUUGCAGCAAAGCCUUUGUGUACCAGCCUCUCAUAGAGAAUCCAGCCAGGACUGUGAAGCCCCAGGGAAUGGCUGCACUUCAAGUCAGAAGGAGCCUGGGUCCCUGAAUCAUCAUGUGGAAGGCUCUCCACCCAGUUCAAUGGUGCAAUGGACCACAAGCAGGAACUUAAUUUAGAAUGUGCUUAUUUUGUUAGAUUUUGUAAUUAAAAAAUGGAUCCC